rnacentral:rRNA from 1 species
AUGGAGUGCGCCAACAUCCUGAUCGCCGUGGGCCGCCGGUCAACGUCGCCUUCCCCGUCCUCCUCGUGGCAGCCGGGGAGGCAAUGGCGCAAGGCGCUGACCGUCAUCCGGACGUGCCACAGGCUGGCGCGGCUCGGCAUUCUGUCCGCCGGCGUCCUGCCACGGAGCACCGCCUUCUACGUCGCCAUCAAGAUCCACCACGACGGCAGUGACUCCGAUGCCGCCGACACCGCCGCAUUCUCUGUCGCCGCCGAUGACGAGCUUUUCAAGGGCCUGGUCAAGGAGAAGCGCGAAGACUGCUUCCGCCGCCUCGGGGCCGGCGCUGGCAUCGCGGCAGCGCUGGCGUCCGACGCCGAGCGCGGCAUCCGAGGCGACGCCGACGACGUGCGGCGCCGCAGGGAGUCGUUCGGCGGGAACACGUACCCCAAGCCAAAGCCCAAAAGCUUCUUCAGCCACGUCUGGGACGCGCUCAAGGACGUCUUCCUCAUCGUGCUCCUCGUCUGCGCCGUCGUCUCCCUCGGCUUCGGCAUCAAGGAGCACGGCCUCAAGGACGGCUGGUACGACGGUGUAAGUAUCUUCCUCGCGGUCUUCCUCGUCGCUGCCGUGUCCGCCGUCAGUAACCACAGCCAGGCCAAGCGGUUUGACAAGCUGGCCAGUGAGUCCGACAAUAUCGCCGUAACCGUAGUCCGCGACGGCCGGAGGCAGGAGGUCUCCAUAUUCGAUAUCCUCGUCGGCGACGUGGUGAUACUCAAGAUCGGCGACUCGGUGCCAGCGGACGGGGUGUUCCUGGAGGGUCACGGCCUGCAGGUGGACGAGUCGAGCAUGACGGGCGAGCCCCACCCGAUCGAGAUCGAUGCCGAGAAGAGUCCCUUUCUCACCGGCGGCGUGAAGAUCGUCGACGGCUACGGCCGGAUGCUCGUGACCGCCGUCGGCACCGACACCUUGUGGGGCGAGAUGAUGAGCAGCAUAACCAAGGAGACCGCCGAGCCAACGCCGCUCCAGGAGCGCCUCGAGCGCCUCACCUCAAGCAUUGGCAAGAUCGGCGUCGCCGUCGCGGUGCUCGUGUUCACCGUGCUCACCGCGCGCCACUUCACCGGCAGCACCAAGGACGACCAAGGGAAGCCGCUGUUCAACAAGGGCCACGUCACCUUCGACGCCGUGUUCAGUUCCCUCGUCGUCAUCUUCCAGCAGGCCGUCACCAUCAUCGUCGUCGCCAUCCCCGAGGGCCUCCCGCUGGCGGUGACGCUCACGCUCGCCUUCUCCAUGAAGAGGAUGGUGAAGGAGAACGCGCUGGUGCGCCGCCUCUCGGCGUGCGAGACAAUGGGGUCGGUCACAGCCAUCUGCACCGACAAGACCGGCACGCUGACGCUCAACCAGAUGAAGGUGACCGAGUUUUGGGUCGGCACUGACCAGCCCAGAGGUGCCACGGCGAUCGCCGGGAGCGUCGUCACCUUGCUCUGCCAGGGAGCUGGGCUCAACACCACGGGAAGCGUUUACAAGCCGGACAACGUGUCGCCACCGGAGAUCACAGGCAGCCCGACGGAGAAGGCGCUGCUGUCGUGGGCCGUAGCGGACCUCGGCAUGGACGCCGACGCGCUGAAGAGGAGCUGCAAGGUGCUGCACGUUGAGGCCUUCAAUUCGGACAAGAAGCGCAGCGGCGUGAUGAUCAGGGACAACGCUACCGGCGCGGUGGUCGCGCACUGGAAAGGCGCCGCGGAGAUGGUGCUGACGAACUGUUCGAUGUACGUGGACACGGACGGAGCGGCGCGCGAGCUCGGAGUGGAGCAGAGGAGGAACCUUGAGAAGGUGAUCAACGACAUGGCCGUCUGCAGCCUCCGGUGCAUCGCCUUCGCCUACAAGCAAGUCGACGGCUCCGAGCAAUCAAAGAUCGACGACGAUGGUCUGACAUUGCUGGGCUUCGUCGGCUUGAAAGAUCCGUGCCGGCCAGAGGUCAAGGCCGCCAUUGAAGCUUGCACCAAGGCAGGCGUCGCCGUCAAGAUGGUCACGGGCGACAACAUCCUCACGGCCCGCGCGAUCGCCAAGGAGUGCGGAAUCAUAUCCAGCAACGACCCCAGCGGCAUCGUCAUCGAGGGGCACGAGUUCCGCGCCAUGUCGCCGGAGCAGCAGCUGGAGAUCGUGGACAGGAUCCGCGUCAUGGCGCGGUCCCUGCCGCUGGACAAGCUGGCGCUGGUGCAGCGGCUGAAGCAGAAGGGGCACGUGGUGGCCGUGACCGGCGACGGCACCAACGACGCGCCGGCGCUCAAGGAGGCGGACGUGGGGCUGUCCAUGGGCGUCCAGGGCACCGAGGUGGCCAAGGAGAGCUCCGACAUCAUCAUCCUCAAUGACAACUUCGACACGGUGGUGACGGCCACGCGGUGGGGGCGCUGCGUCUACAACAACAUCCAGAAGUUCAUCCAGUUCCAGCUCACCGUCAAUGUGGCGGCGCUCGUCAUCAACUUCGUGUCCGCCAUCACCACGGGCAAGAUGCCGCUCACCACCGUGCAGCUCCUGUGGGUGAACCUGAUCAUGGACACCAUGGGCGCUCUCGCUCUCGCCACGGACACGCCCACCAAGGCGCUCAUGGACCGGCCGCCCAUCGGCCGCACGGCGCCGCUUAUCAGCAACGCAAUGUGGCGCAACCUCGCCGCGCAGGCGGCGUUCCAGAUCGCCGUGCUGCUGGCGCUCCAGUACCGGGGGCGGGACGUGUUCGGCACCGACGAGAAGGGCAACGGCACCAUGAUCUUCAACGCCUUCGUGCUCUGCCAGGUGUUCAACGAGUUCAACGCGCGGGAGAUCGAGAAGAAGAACGUGUUCGCCGGGGUGCUCAAGAACAGGAUGUUCCUGGUCAUCAUCGCCGUCACGCUCGCGCUGCAGGUGGUCAUGGUGGAGGUGCUCACCAGGUUCGCCAGCACCAAGAGGCUGGGGCUGGGGCAGUGGGGCGUCUGCCUCGCCAUCGCCGCCGUGUCGUGGCCCAUCGGCUGGGCCGUCAAGUUCAUCCCCGUGCCGGACCGGACUCUCCAUGACAUCCUCACACGCCGGAAAUCCUCAUGA